CAGGGGUGGGGGUGUGAUUUUUGCUUAUGUUUGUUUAUAACCCUGUUGUGGUGUUUCUCCGAUGGAAUGCCGCAUUUUUUCCUUCCUUUAUUAAAAGGAUUUGCUACACUCAGACUCUGUGCUUGAGAGAGGG